rnacentral:tRNA from 1 species
CUAAUUGUGUUAUAGAACUUUUGUUAUUUACAUUAACAUAAUAUUUGUGCGAUUCAAAUCA